rnacentral:rRNA from 1 species
UAGAGUUUGAUCCUGGCUCAGAUUGAACGCUAGCGGGAUGCCUUACCAUGCAAGUCGAACGGCAGCACGGACUUCGGUCUGGUGGCGAGUGGCGAACGGGUGAGUAUGUAUCGGAACGUGCCCAGUAGCGGGGGAUACUACGCGAAGCGUAGCUAAACCGCAUACGCCCUACGGGGAAAGCAGGGGAUCGCAGACCUUGCCUAUUGAGCGGCCGAUUCGGAUUACUAGUUGGUGGGUACGGCUCACAAGGCGACGAUCCUAACUGGUUUGAAAGGACACCAGCCCCCUGGGACUGAAACCGGCCCAAAUCCUACGGAGGCACCAUGGGGAAUUUGGAAAAGGGGGAAACCC